CUUUAAAAACCUGUUGGCCAAACACAGAAUCUACUUCACAACUCCUGAUGUGACAGCUGUGGUGAGAAGUGUCCUCCAUGAGAAAACUACCCUUCAGGUCCAACUUUAAAAAUGAGGUACCAUUUGAUUAGUUUUCCUUACAGAUAAGUCAGUGUCCCCCAGUCGAGUCCUCCUCUCCUCCUCAAUGACCGACUCCAAGACCUUGUAGUAGAGCAUCUCAGCACGACGGAAAUGUUUACUGGCAACAUCUGCAGGAAGUUUAAAGAGAAGCAAUAUUGUGAAAUAAAAUAAAAAAGUAUUACAUUCUUCAUCUUCAGAUACAGAGACACAA